rnacentral:rRNA from 1 species
UAGAGUUUGAUCCUGGCUCAGGAUGAACGCUAGCUACAGGCUUAACACAUGCAAGUCGAGGGGCAUCAUGGCGGUCGCUUGCGACCGCUGAUGGCGACCGGCGCACGGGUGCGUAACGCGUAUCGAACCUGCCGCAUACCCGGGGAUAGCCUUGCGAAAGCAAGAUUAAUACCCGAUGUUCUCACUGUUCCGCAUGUUACGGUGAGCAAAGAAUUUCGGUAUGCGAUGGCGAUGCGUCCCAUUAGCUAGUUGGCGGGGUAACGGCCCACCAAGGCUCCGAUGGGUAGGGGUUCUGAGAGGAAGGUCCCCCACACUGGAACUGAGACACGGUCCAGACUCCUACGGGAGGCAGCAGUGAGGAAUAUUGGUCAAUGGACGCAAGUCUGAACCAGCCAAGUAGCGUGCAGGAUGACGGCCCUCCGGGUUGUAAACUGCUUUUAGUUGGGAAUAAAAGGGGGCUCGUGAGCCCCGUAUUGUAUGUACCAUCAGAAAAAGGACCGGCUAAUUCCGUGCCAGCAGCCGCGGUAAUACGGAAGGUCCGGGCGUUAUCCGGAUUUAUUGGGUUUAAAGGGAGCGUAGGCCGGCUUUUAAGUCAGCUGUGAAAGUCCGCGGCUCAACCGUGGAAUUGCAGUUGAAACUGGAGGCCUUGAGUGCACACAGGGAUGCCGGAAUUCAUGGUGUAGCGGUGAAAUGCUUAGAUAUCGCGCAGAACUCCGAUUGCGAAGGCAGCAUGCCGGCUCCACACUGACGCUGAGGCACGAAAGCGUGGGUAUCGAACAGGAUUAGAUACCCUGGUAGUCCACGCAGUAAACGAUGAAUGCUGGCUGUCCGGGGGGAUUGACCCCUGGGUGGCGAAGCGAAAGCGAUAAGCAUUCCACCUGGGGAGUACGCCGGCAACGGUGAAACUCAAAGGAAUUGACGGGGGCCCGCACAAGCGGAGGAACAUGUGGUUUAAUUCGAUGAUACGCGAGGAACCUUACCCGGGCUCAAACGACACAGGAACGGUCCUGAAAGGGGUCGGCUCUACGGAGCCUGUGUCGAGGUGCUGCAUGGUUGUCGUCAGCUCGUGCCGUGAGGUGUCGGCUUAAGUGCCAUAACGAGCGCAACCCCCAUCGACAGUUGCUAACAGGUUAGGCUGAGGACUCUGUCGAGACUGCCGGCGCAAGCUGCGAGGAAGGCGGGGAUGACGUCAAAUCAGCACGGCCCUUACGUCCGGGGCGACACACGUGUUACAAUGGCAGGUACAGCGGGAAGCCACCUGGCGACAGGGAGCGGAACCCGAAAGCCUGUCUCAGUUCGGAUUGGAGUCUGCAACCCGACUCCAUGAAGCUGGAUUCGCUAGUAAUCGCGCAUCAGCCACGGCGCGGUGAAUACGUUCCCGGGCCUUGCACUCACCGCCCGUCA